UACGAAGGGGGCUAGCGUUGCUCGGAAUGACUGGGCGUAAAGGGCUCGUAGGCGGUUUGUCACGUCGGGAGUGAAAACUCGGGGCUCAACCCCGAGCCUGCUUCCGAUACGGGCAGACUAGAGGUAUGCAGGGGAGAAUGGAAUUCCCGGUGUAGCGGUGAAAUGCGCAGAUAUCAGGAGGAACACCGGUGGCGAAGGCGGUUCUCUGGGCAUUACCUGACGCUGAGGAGCGAAAGUGUGGGGAGCGAACAGG
rnacentral:rRNA from 1 species